rnacentral:rRNA from 1 species
GGGUUGUGAGGUUAAGCGACUAAGCGUACACGGUGGAUGCCCUGGCAGUCAGAGGCGAUGAAGGACGUGCUAAUCUGCGAUAAGCGUCGGUAAGGUGAUAUGAACCGUUAUAACCGGCGAUUUCCGAAUGGGGAAACCCAGUGUGAUUCGUCACACUAUCAUUAACUGAAUCCAUAGGUUAAUGAGGCGAACCGGGGGAACUGAAACAUCUAAGUACCCCGAGGAAAAGAAAUCAACCGAGAUUCCCCCAGUAGCGGCGAGCGAACGGGGAGCAGCCCAGAGCCUGAAUCAGUGUGUGUGUUAGUGGAAGCGUCUGGAAAGGCGCGCGAUACAGGGUGACAGCCCCGUACACAAAAAUGCACAUAUUGUGAGCUCGAUGAGUAGGGCGGGACACGUGGUAUCCUGUCUGAAUAUGGGGGGACCAUCCUCCAAGGCUAAAUACUCCUGACUGACCGAUAGUGAACCAGUACCGUGAGGGAAAGGCGAAAAGAACCCCGGCGAGGGGAGUGAAAAAGAACCUGAAACCGUGUACGUACAAGCAGUGGGAGCACGCUUAGGCGUGUGACUGCGUACCUUUUGUAUAAUGGGUCAGCGACUUAUAUUCUGUAGCAAGGUUAACCGAAUAGGGGAGCCGAAGGGAAACCGAGUCUUAACUGGGCGUUAAGUUGCAGGGUAUAGACCCGAAACCCGGUGAUCUAGCCAUGGGCAGGUUGAAGGUUGGGUAACACUAACUGGAGGACCGAACCGACUAAUGUUGAAAAAUUAGCGGAUGACUUGUGGCUGGGGGUGAAAGGCCAAUCAAACCGGGAGAUAGCUGGUUCUCCCCGAAAGCUAUUUAGGUAGCGCCUCGUGAAUUCAUCUCCGGGGGUAGAGCACUGUUUCGGCAAGGGGGUCAUCCCGACUUACCAACCCGAUGCAAACUGCGAAUACCGGAGAAUGUUAUCACGGGAGACACACGGCGGGUGCUAACGUCCGUCGUGAAGAGGGAAACAACCCAGACCGCCAGCUAAGGUCCCAAAGUCAUGGUUAAGUGGGAAACGAUGUGGGAAGGCCCAGACAGCCAGGAUGUUGGCUUAGAAGCAGCCAUCAUUUAAAGAAAGCGUAAUAGCUCACUGGUCGAGUCGGCCUGCGCGGAAGAUGUAACGGGGCUAAACCAUGCACCGAAGCUGCGGCAGCGACGCUUAUGCGUUGUUGGGUAGGGGAGCGUUCUGUAAGCCUGUGAAGGUGUGCUGUGAGGCAUGCUGGAGGUAUCAGAAGUGCGAAUGCUGACAUAAGUAACGAUAAAGCGGGUGAAAAGCCCGCUCGCCGGAAGACCAAGGGUUCCUGUCCAACGUUAAUCGGGGCAGGGUGAGUCGACCCCUAAGGCGAGGCCGAAAGGCGUAGUCGAUGGGAAACAGGUUAAUAUUCCUGUACUUGGUGUUACUGCGAAGGGGGGACGGAGAAGGCUAUGUUGGCCGGGCGACGGUUGUCCCGGUUUAAGCGUGUAGGCUGGUUUUCCAGGCAAAUCCGGAAAAUCAAGGCUGAGGCGUGAUGACGAGGCACUACGGUGCUGAAGCAACAAAUGCCCUGCUUCCAGGAAAAGCCUCUAAGCAUCAGGUAACAUCAAAUCGUACCCCAAACCGACACAGGUGGUCAGGUAGAGAAUACCAAGGCGCUUGAGAGAACUCGGGUGAAGGAACUAGGCAAAAUGGUGCCGUAACUUCGGGAGAAGGCACGCUGAUAUGUAGGUGAAGUCCCUUGCGGAUGGAGCUGAAAUCAGUCGAAGAUACCAGCUGGCUGCAACUGUUUAUUAAAAAACACAGCACUGUGCAAACACGAAAGUGGACGUAUACGGUGUGACGCCUGCCCGGUGCCGGAAGGUUAAUUGAUGGGGUCAGCGCAAGCGAAGCUCUUGAUCGAAGCCCCGGUAAACGGCGGCCGUAACUAUAACGGUCCUAAGGUAGCGAAAUUCCUUGUCGGGUAAGUUCCGACCUGCACGAAUGGCGUAAUGAUGGCCAGGCUGUCUCCACCCGAGACUCAGUGAAAUUGAACUCGCUGUGAAGAUGCAGUGUACCCGCGGCAAGACGGAAAGACCCCGUGAACCUUUACUAUAGCUUGACACUGAACAUUGAGCCUUGAUGUGUAGGAUAGGUGGGAGGCUUUGAAGUGUGGACGCCAGUCUGCAUGGAGCCGACCUUGAAAUACCACCCUUUAAUGUUUGAUGUUCUAACGUUGACCCGUAAUCCGGGUUGCGGACAGUGUCUGGUGGGUAGUUUGACUGGGGCGGUCUCCUCCUAAAGAGUAACGGAGGAGCACGAAGGUUGGCUAAUCCUGGUCGGACAUCAGGAGGUUAGUGCAAUGGCAUAAGCCAGCUUGACUGCGAGCGUGACGGCGCGAGCAGGUGCGAAAGCAGGUCAUAGUGAUCCGGUGGUUCUGAAUGGAAGGGCCAUCGCUCAACGGAUAAAAGGUACUCCGGGGAUAACAGGCUGAUACCGCCCAAGAGUUCAUAUCGACGGCGGUGUUUGGCACCUCGAUGUCGGCUCAUCACAUCCUGGGGCUGAAGUAGGUCCCAAGGGUAUGGCUGUUCGCCAUUUAAAGUGGUACGCGAGCUGGGUUUAGAACGUCGUGAGACAGUUCGGUCCCUAUCUGCCGUGGGCGCUGGAGAACUGAGGGGGGCUGCUCCUAGUACGAGAGGACCGGAGUGGACGCAUCACUGGUGUUCGGGUUGUCAUGCCAAUGGCACUGCCCGGUAGCUAAAUGCGGAAGAGAUAAGUGCUGAAAGCAUCUAAGCACGAAACUUGCCCCGAGAUGAGUUCUCCCUGACCCUUUAAGGGUCCUGAAGGAACGUUGAAGACGACGACGUUGAUAGGCCGGGUGUGUAAGCGCAGCGAUGCGUUGAGCUAACCGGUACUAAUGAACCGUGAGGCUUAACCUUACAACGCCGAAGCUGUU